rnacentral:rRNA from 1 species
GAUGAACGCUGGCGGCGUGCCUAAUACAUGCAAGUCGAGCGAACAGAUGAGGAGCUUGCUCCUCUGACGUUAGCGGCGGACGGGUGAGUAACACGUGGAUAACCUACCUAUAAGACUGGGAUAACUUCGGGAAACCGGAGCUAAUACCGGAUAAUAUAUUGAACCGCAUGGUUCAAUAGUGAAAGACGGUUUUGCUGUCACUUAUAGAUGGAUCCGCGCCGCAUUAGCUAGUUGGUAAGGUAACGGCUUACCAAGGCAACGAUGCGUAGCCGACCUGAGAGGGUGAUCGGCCACACUGGAACUGAGACACGGUCCAGACUCCUACGGGAGGCAGCAGUAGGGAAUCUUCCGCAAAGGGCGAAAGCCUGACGGAGCAACGCCGCGUGAGUGAUGAAGGUCUUCGGAUCGUAAAACUCUGUUAUUAGGGAAGAACAAAUGUGUAAGUAACUAUGCACGUCUUGACGGUACCUAAUCAGAGAGCCACGGCUAACUACGUG